rnacentral:rRNA from 1 species
GAAUCUUGGGCAAUGGGCGCAAGCCUGACCCAGCGACGCCGCGUGAGGGAUGAAGGCCUUCGGGUCGUAAACCUCUGUCGGGAGGGAAGAACGUCGGUAGGGUGAACAAUCCUGUCGGUUGCCGGUACCUCCAAAGGAAGCGCCGGCUACCUCCGUGCCAGCAGCCGCGGUAAUACGGAGGGCGCAAGCGUUGUUCGGAAUCACUGGGCGUAAAGCGCGUGUAGGCGGCCGGGCAAGUCGGAUGUGAAAUCCCGAGGCUCAACCUCGGAACUGCAUUCGAAACUGCUCGGCUCGAGUGCCGGAGAGGAUGGCGGAAUUCCCGGUGUAGGGGUGAAAUCCGUAGAUGUCGGGAGGAACACCAGUGGCGAAGGCGGCCAUCUGGACGGUGACUGACGCUGAGACGCGAAAGCGUGGGGAGCAAACAGG